CUACGGGAGGCUCCAGUGGGGAAUCUUAGACAAUGGGCGCAAGCCUGAUCUAGCCAUGCCGCGUGAGUGAUGAAGGCCUUAGGGUCGUAAAGCUCUUUCGCUGGGGAAGAUAAUGACGGUACCCAGUAAAGAAACCCCGGCUAACUCCAUGCCAGCAGCCGCGGUAAUACGGAGGGGGUUAGCGUUGUUCGGAAUUACUGGGCGUAAAGCGCGCGUAGGCGGAUCAGAAAGGUGGGGGUGAAAUCCCGGGGCUCAACCCCGGAAUUGCCUUCAAAACUCCUGGUCUUGAGUUCGAGAGAGGUGAGUGGAAUUCCGAGUGUAGAGGUGAAAUUCGUAGAUAUUCGGAGGAACACCAGUGGCGAAGGCGGCUCACUGGCUCGAUACUGACGCUGAGGUGCGAAAGCGUGGGGAGCAAACAGGAUUAGAUACCCGUGUAGUC
rnacentral:rRNA from 1 species